rnacentral:snRNA from 1 species
GCUUCAAUAGCACAUACUAAAAUUGGAACUCUACACAGAAGAUUAGCAUGACCCCUGUGCAAGGAGGACACACAAAUUUGUAAAGCAUUCUGUAUUUUU